CCACCAUGGUCUCAGAAUUUAAGGGGCUGUACUUGCUGGGCUGGCUUGGUCGCUGCUUCGAUGCAGAAAAUAACUGAGCUACUCUUGAGGUCUGCAGCUAUCAAUAAUUGUUAAAAGCCUUCCAGACCAAUUACACAGAGAGCUGGAGCUACGAGCACUUGGGCAAAUCACCCCACCUGCAGCUCACCUCUCUCAUCUCUUCUUGCUGUGUGACAGUUGCACCUAGUGAUCCAUGCCCAGCUGUCAUGGUAAGUGAUGCUGUGGCACAUGAGCUCACCCUUGGUGCUCUGCACUCCUGAGGUACCAGCAAGCACACAAUGCCAGUCACUCAGCACUGUCCCAGUGCUGGUCAGGACAGCUGCAUGGCCUUGAGGUACCCAGGUUAUACUGUUGCCUUCAGCCCGUCUGACUGUGGAGUCCCCACUGCGUUCACCUGAAUGGUCAUUUCCUGAUUCCUGUUGGUCUCAGGGUGUUCUCGGCAGCAGUCUUCUAGCCUUUACUGGUGAAGCUCCAGGGGUUUGAGGUCAGCUAAGGCACAGCAGCAGCAGCCAGCCUGCUCGACCCUAAGGCUCAGUGCUUUUCCAUGUCUUGGCUGCUGGCCUUUCGGGGACUCAAGGGGCAUAGGAGCAGGUUCUGAGUGGGGUGGAUACUGCAGCAUAUGCAUCAGGUAUACUAGAGUAGAUACGGGAGUAUAGGUAUUAGGGUAGCUGUUGGGGGGAUGCACUGGGGUACAUUAGGGUAGAUUCUGGGGUAGAUAUUUAGGCAGGUACUGCGUAUGGAUAAUAAAGUAGGUACUGAGAUAGGUGUUGGGAUAUACUGCUUGCAUUUUGUAGGGGCAGCAGCAUGUGGGCAGUGCAUCCUGGAGGCAAACCUGGCACUCUUAACAGGGAACUUCCUUUUUUGCUGUAUUUUUGUAAAAAGCUGGAGCAGAGUAGGUACUGGGGUAUAGAUAUUAGGGUGAGUACUAGUGUAAGUAUUCAGGCAGUUACUAACAUAGAUAAUAAAGUAGGUUCUGGGGUGGGUACUGAGGUAUAUUAGGGUAGGUACUGGGGUAUAGAUAUUAGGGUGAGUACUAAGGUAGAUGCUGAGGUAGGUAGGCACUGGGAGUAGAUACUAGCGUAGAUACCGAGUAGGUGCUAGUGGGUAGUAGGAUGAAUAACAAGGUAGGUGCAGGAGCACACAUUGCUAAAGUAGGUGCAAGAGUGGCCAAGCUUCAGAAAAGGAUGCAACCAGCUGGCAGCUUUGGGGGCUGAAAACCAAAGCAGCCUGUGCCAUCUGAGGCUCUAACCACUUCACUUGUCCCCACCAGGUGACCCCAGCCUUGUCCCUCAGCCAUGUGGGAACAAUAGAGAAGGCAUUUUUCUCCACAGGAUGGGUGGGACCUCGAACUCAAAUUUCUCCAGCAUCACUAGAUUUCUCGAUGUAACUAAUGAGUCCCGCAGCUGGGCCCUAAGCCAGAGCCUGCAGCUGGGUGUCUAUUGUAAUGAGCUACUGGUGGCACCUCCCUCCGGCUGGCCUGAGGCCAUCGUUAAUGUCCCAGGAAUGGGUGGCCACAGAAUCCUGAGUUUUCCCUCAAGUCUCUUUAAGGGACUCUGCAGCCUGUCACUGCUGUCCAUUCUUCAUUAGGGAUGGCAAGGUGCCAUGCCCAUAUUCCUGGGAGGAAACGGAAUAGCAUUGAGCUAUCCCAUGCCCAUCCAUCCAUUAUAGCAGCUCCGUGACUGAGGCUGUCUCCACAAUUUCUUGUCCCUGGGAGAAUGGCUUCCCUCUUAGCACAGUCCCUCCCUGCAGCAUGCUGCUUGCCUUUUGUGUGGGCAGCAGCGUGUGGGCAGUGGCGUGUGGGCAAUGGCAUUUGGAGGCAUACCUGACUCCCUUAACUGGGAACUUCCCUUUUUUUGCUGUAUUUUUUUAAAUAUAUAUAAAGCCAGAGUAGGAGUAAGAAAUCACAUAUUUAUCAUCAUCUCCCAGUAACAGAACCCAAACCUAAGUAAAGAACUCUUUAGAGUGUUUCCUGCUCAGCGCCUGGCUUAUCUUAAACUGUCGAAGUUGAUAGCCCAAUCUACUUUUUGAUGUAACUAUGAUGGUUUUAGGAGAUUUAGACAUGAUUUUUUAUAGCCUGAAAAAGAAAAAUAGAACUGAAUAUAUGAUAAUGAUGAAUCCGCCGACUUCUGCAUCUGAAAUGGCUUCGAGGCACGAGUUAUUGCGUAAUAAUUCAUGCCCUGUUGUGUCUUGCUGCUUAAUAAGCGUAUGGGAAGGCUUGUGCUGGAAUUGUCUUUCUAUUGCCGUCUCAGAGCUGGCUACACUGCAGAGCGUGGGGAGGGCUGAGGUAUACAUCACUGACUGAUGAAGCUGUCAGGGCUGGGGGCAGGUGCUAAGGACCUAGCCCAUAGUGCAGGGGCCAAGGGAGAAGGCUCUAUUGGCAGAAAGCCCCUCACCUCAAGAAGGAGCAUUCCAUAGAAGAGCCUCUGCUUUCUCUGGCUUCAGCCUCCCAGAAAUGUGCAUCAGACUGGUCCUAGGCAUGUAUUUCAGCAUUGGUAGCACAUCCCAGCUGAAAGCCAUUCUAAAUGGUUGACGGCUAUACCAGCUUUAGUAGGACAGGGCUUCCCUGAGACCACCAGUCACAAUAGUUGGAUCCUACUGUGUGAGUACCCUGAACACAAGCCAGGCUGUGGUCCCCUGUGGAAGCAUGCUAAGGAGUGCAUUGUCCAAGGUGAUUCUGUGAC
rnacentral:lncRNA from 1 species